CCUAAUUAAUAAAAACAAAAGUAAACCCUAAAAGAAAAAAAAAUAAAGUUAGAUCCUUAAAGACAUAGCCUUUUACCCUUCCCCCUAGCCAUUCUCCUCAAUGGCAUCGACAACUUAUCAGAGAGGAUUGGUUUCGAAAUAGUAUCGAUGAACUCGUUUCCUUUCAUCCAAUCCCAUUUCCCAUUGAGCUCUUCGGAGUAUUGAUUAAUUUCUCCAAACUUAAAAAAUAAUCUUUCUUAAAAUAUUCUAUUUGAAAACCCCUUAUGUCCAUUGUCACAAGUUGAUCAAUUUCUGAGGGAACUUCCUCAAUCCAAUAUGCUGGAGUUUCAAUUCUGUGGUCGUAUUUUGCCAUCCCAUGAGCUACAUUGUUCACCACUUUUGAGAUAUGCCUGAAGGAUAAGUGUCUAUAUGUUGAAAUUCUUGCUUUAAUCUCCUUUAUAACAUUUGCAAUUUCUAACUUAUCCAUAUCAUCUGCAUGCAGUUUCUUUAUGAUUGUUAAUGCUUCUCCCUCAACUCUGAUCUCUCAAAAGCCUAGAUCCUCUACAAAAUUGACAGCCUAAAGACAAGCCCAAGCUUCGGCGGUGGUGGGAUCCCGAACAUUUUCCCACUGGUUUCGACAACAAUGCGUCAUUCCAGAUGUUCACUAGUUCCCCAUUCCCCAUUCUCCAUCUUAUUCCUUUUUGCAAAAGGCUACGAGCUCCCCAAAUGCUGUGCCAAGUAAAUAAAGGGUAUUCUCUCUUUCAACUCACGCAUCUCCUUUAUAACACUGAAAGUAAGAGAGCAGAUAUCUUGGGCUGAUUGUCGAUUUCCCUUCAUUGUACGUUUAUUUCGGGCUUGCCAGAGUGCCCAGGCCGUGGUUGUAGCAAUUUCACCAAAAUCAUGCCUUCUAUCUUGAAAAACCAAGUUAAGCCAGGUCCACAAACCAGGAGAGUAUGCAUGAAAUUCUCCGAGGCUUCACCACAGUUGGGGCAACUUGAGGAAGAGCUAAUACGUCUAUUGUAUAGAUUAACAGCAGUAGGAAUAUAAUCUUUUGUAAAUCACCAAACAAUGAUCUGAUCUUUAGGGGAAGAUUUAAUUCCCAAAUUUUUUUGUAAA